UACUAGCGAUCCGAGUCGCAGCCAUUUUUAUUGGGUCUAAAACAUCCGUAGCUUGCUUGAUAAGUUUCUUGUGAAAUCUUAUCUCUUAAAGAUAGGACGUGCAAGAAGUACUGUCAAGCUAGAGACUGGAAGACGUAGGAAGUACGGUCAAAGUAGCGGUAAAAUGUGUUAAUCUUGAUCGGACUCACAAGAGCGAAGGCAUCCUACGAGGACAGUUCUGACAGUAAGGGAUGAAGGCUAGGGGCGCAAAACGGAUUAGAUACCCGCGUA
rnacentral:rRNA from 1 species